CUUGGCGGUGGCAGCAGCAUCCUUGGGAUCUUUAGCAGCCUUCUCGGCCACUGCUUGUGGGCUGGUGUCCUCCAUUUGAUGCCUUCCAGUGGCCACUGCUCAUCCUUCUUGGUAUGGAGUCACCUGGAGACAAGGGAGGUGCUGAGAUCACAAGCAAGCAGCUAUCUGACUACAGUUUAUCUUUAACUGGAAAAUACCAGUAGAAACAAGCAUCCAGCGUGAAAAUAGAGGGGGAACUUUUUAAGUUUGCAAACCUCCUGCAAACUGGGGAGAGGCUUCUGGUAAGACAGUUUCCUAUUUCCACCCUGCCAAUUCCUCUGCUUCUUGUAUCCAAGACUGGACAGGAAGCCAGCCCCCAGCUCCCACUCUGGCCCAGACUAGACCAAAGAGGUAUCCAGGUGGGCACUGGUCAAUGACAACCUUGCAUCUUAGUUCAACGAUCCUUUUGCUUAGCCGGAGUAUACUUUCAAAGCCAUCCAAGCAAAGAGGAAGGCUGGAACGCUUAUAGGCUUAAGGACAGCUGUCAGCUAGAUUGGCACGCAUGUCUCGUUUCACUCCCCUUUAAGGAGAAGGUAACUUUCCAGUUAAGGAGCUUGUCUCAAGGGUGUACAAUUCAUGGGGAGCCUAGGUCUGUUUUGGCAGGAGAUAUGCCACACAAACCCACAACCCUGGGAGUGGGUCUCCCUAAGGUCUCCAAGCUUUUUACAGUCUGUGGUUCAUUGUAUCUUUUUUCUACAUUUUGGAAUUAGGGGGAAAGAUUCUGCCUCCAACAGAAAUUACAUUGGUAGAAAUUACAUCGGUGGACAUGACGUUGGUGGAAAAUGUGUGGACAAGAGGGAGGCAGGGGACUAGUGAUUCCCUUUCCACAAUGCUCUGGGUUAGAGGGAGGUUCGACUUUUGGGUCUCAACUCCCAUCUUCCCAGGUACGGCCACUGUAAAGGGGCAGGGGGACCUAGUCAUGGUCUCUCCCACCACCGUGUCAUCAAAGGCCAAUGUUCACAGGAUCCUCAAGAGACCACUCACUUCACUGCCCGAUGGGGCGGUGCCCUCAACCCCAGAGUCUACGCCCGUUAGUUUGUGACCCCGCCCCGCAACCUGGCGGGUCCCAUCCAGUCCAGCCGGCCAGCGGUGAUUGACGUAACAGUUAUCCCACCCUCCAGCCUCGUUCCUCCUCCCCGCCCACCUGAGACUCCGCCCUAAAACGUCGGCUGCCCCGCCUCCGAGAGGCUCAGGCACCGCCUAACAAACGAGCGAGCUACGCGGCAUACACGGUCACCACGGAGACGCUGCUGCGGUACGGAGGCCGGAGGGCAUCAAGGCGCGGGUCUUGGGUGGAAUGGCUCCAAUACGCGUGCGCUUACCGCCUCUUACGCUGGAGGUGGGCGACAAGGCCAAAAAGAAACGUUGAGAGGACGGGCUGGUGGAUUCCGGGAGGGCUUGGGGACCCGAGGGAGGUCGAGCGAUGCUUCUGCAGACCAGAUCGUCUUCCAGAGCAAUGGACCCUCGGGCUUCAGGCCUCCGGAGCUGACCGCUGCCCUCCGCGCCUGCGCAGAAGCAGUAGCUGCAGUGCCUGGCUCUUGGCUUCCUAGGCUGGUGCAGGGUUUGCUGCAAAGAGGCGUCCCUUUUGUAGCGGGGCUUGGUUCUGCACAGACCCUCUCCGUGUCGAAACUUGGAGGCUACCCUUUCCCAUGUAGAAACCUGCUGGGCAGGGCAUUCUAGGAGGCAGGUCAACCAGGUCUGUAUACCCUAAACCACAUCAUCCUCUAGAGAAAAGGGAUCCCUCCCGAAAAGAGGGAUUAUUGGAGCAUGGUAAACUGCCUUAAUAGCCAGAUCUGGUGGGGAUAGAAGCCCUGCUGCGGAUCCCAGAGGAUCCUGAGCAAUGAGGUGAUAUGGGUUACUCCUUUCUGGGGACCAGAAGUUGGGAUCUUAGCAGGUUCCACAGUUUUUAGUGAGUAAUGUGUCACACACAGAGCAACAUGACACGCGAUCAUAUCUAAGGGAAACAAUCGGAAAUGAACUAGCCUGGACAUUGGAUUGUACCCUUGGCUAGCGUGCCCAUUGAUAUAAUCUUGCUAAAUAUUUUUGAAGCAGCAAAGCAGGCCUGAACUGAAGGUAUAAGACGGAACUAACGUGGAGUCUAGAUCUAAAACAAAUUUGGUUUAUUCGGAGCAGCAAGAUGAGAAUAUUCUUAGAACGUAGGUAGGAGAGAGCCAUUUCCACAAAGUUGUCUUGUAUGAAUGCAAUAAUAAAUUUAAAAAUUUCAAUUCA